rnacentral:misc_RNA from 1 species
UAAAAGACAAUGUAGAUUUCUGAGUAAUAGGGAGGAUAAC